UGGGGAAUUUUGGACAAUGGGGGAAACCCUGAUCCAGCCAUCCCGCGUGUGCGAUGAAGGCCUUCGGGUUGUAAAGCACUUUUGGCAGGAAAGAAACGUCGCGGGUUAAUACCCCGCGAAACUGACGGUACCUGCAGAAUAAGCACCGGCUAACUACGUGCCAGCAGCCGCGGUAAUACGUAGGGUGCAAGCGUUAAUCGGAAUUACUGGGCGUAAAGCGUGCGCAGGCGGUUCGGAAAGAAAGAUGUGAAAUCCCAGAGCUUAACUUUGGAACUGCAUUUUUAACUACCGGGCUAGAGUGUGUCAGAGGGAGGUGGAAUUCCGCGUGUAGCAGUGAAAUGCGUAGAUAUGCGGAGGAACACCGAUGGCGAAGGCAGCCUCCUGGGAUAACACUGACGCUCAUGCACGAAAGCGUGGGGAGCAAACAGGAUUAGAUACCCUGGUAGUCCACGCCCUAAACGAUGUCAACUAGCUGUUGGGGCCUUCGGGCCUUGGUAGCGCAGCUAACGCGUGAAGUUGACCGCCUGGGGAGUACGGUCGCAAGAUUAAAACUUAAAGGAAUUGACGGGGGUCAUAGCUG
rnacentral:rRNA from 1 species